ensembl:lncRNA
AUACCUGAACAAAAAAUAAAAAUAUAUUUUGGUUUCAGCUAGUUUUUGUUCACAAAUCUCACAAUUACGGAAGGUGUUUUUUUUUUUUUUUUUUAUUCCAGCCAUUAAACACACUUUAUUUAUUUAUUUAUUUUAAUUUACUUCAACGAUACUAACACUGCUGGUCAGGCUGAUCUGCUGGCUGCUUUUAGAAUGAGUUUUUCUAACUUAUCUUUAGGAGACCAUUUUACACCACCAAAGACCAGCUAGAUCAGCAUAGCCAAGCAGGGAAAUAAUCUUAACCCAGAUAAAACAAGCAAACAUUCUUAGGUUUAUUGACUUUUUUAUUUAAAUUAUUUAUUUUUAUAAAAAAGGGUCAUUUUAAAUGUAAAGAAAUACUAAAAUAAAAUCGCGAAUGACUUUUAUUGUGAAAGUUGACUUACAGCUUUUCCAGCCAUGCAGUGACGUCAUUCGGAUCCGCUAAAUUGACAGGCCACCUGCAGGGAUGCAGCAAGGCUUUAAAGGGACAGGCUUCGGAUGCAUGGGAUGCUUUUGUUACAGCACAUGGCGAGAAGAAGACGGGCUGUCAUCUCCAGCGAAGCAUCCUCCGAAGCGCAUCAGCAAAGACACACAUACAUUGUGUGUAGGAGAGACCGGGGAGUUGUAAGACCAUCAGUUUAGCCAAUUAGAAAUGAGCUACAGAGGAGAAUCUUACAUUGACCACCACCCUUCUAAGGUGACAGCUGUAAGUGACCUUUUAUAUUUUUUUACUUCAGAAAAAGAAAAAAAAAAGAAGAGGUAAGAAACAUUGGUUUGAUAUACAGAAUCAAUUUAAGCUUUUCAUCUACAUUUUGAAAACUAGAAAUAUCAUGGCAGAGCAGACAUGAAGGGUUGUAACACUUUCAGCACUUUUUAACACUUAAACUGGAUCCAUGAAAUGAGAAACAUUACAUACAAUUUGUUUGACUGCAUUUAAUGUGUUUUUAUAUAUUUGUUUCAAAUUUUGUUUGCUUUCUGAAUUAAAAUGAAUAAAAAUAUCGUACACAUUAAUGUUUUAUGUUAGUGUAACAGUGGACAGUGAGGAAGGUUGUAACAACAGCACCCUUCCCUUAUGAAAUUUAACCAUGGUUUUACUACAAACAAAACCAAAGACCAUGGUUACUAUAGUUAAACCAUGGUAACCACAAAUUAACCAUAGUUUAACCAUGUUUUUGUAGUAAAAUUGUGGUUAUACAAAUGGUAAUCAACGCCAAAAACAAAAACAAAAAAAACAUGAGGUCUACACUUUUACUACAAUAAAACCAUGGUUAAUGUGGUUGUUGGGUUUGGCGUUAUUUAGGGAUACUUUGUAAAUAUCAAUAGUAGAGUCAUUUUAAGCAUAUAAAUGUAAUAUUCCAUCAAAGUUUCAGACAAGUAGCAAAAAGUUACAGACCUGUCAACAAAGACUUAUUACAUUUCCCGGUCUCACGUACACAGAAAUAUUAACUAAAAAUCUUUAAUACACCGAUACAGCUUGAUUAAACCGAUCUAAACAAGCCUCCCAACCUGUAAACUGACAAACACUCGCAGAAAAGCUUAAUAGUAGUUAACAAACAGCGAAAUUAUCGAUAAUUACUCGCUGUUUUAUUGGCGCGUGGCUGCGUCUCAGAACUCAUCGAUCACGUGCGGUCGCUGUGAAUGCGCGCGAGCAGGCGGAGGUGACA